ACUUCGAUGGUCGCAGAGUGAGAUUGCCGGCUGAGUUCUGCCUUUCCACUCUCCUCGCUGGUCACUGCCUGUCUCUCCCUUCGAUUUCCAUGGCCUGAGUUCUUUGGUGCAUCAUCCUGGCUUGUUCGAUCUACGGUGUUGUUGGAUGACCUGUGUUUGAUUUUCUUCAACUUGCUUAACCACCGUUGGAGAAAUCCCCUGCAGCUAGAGGGCUUGCGGUGCCGCCGGCUUGAGUUUGUCAGAUCCUCCUUUCCCGGUGGAUAACCCGAAUAGCCUAGGAUUUUCUUGUUUUGGGUCUUAUGGGCCUAGUUUACCAAAGAUCAACUAGGUCC
rnacentral:misc_RNA from 1 species